rnacentral:tRNA from 1 species
GCCCUUGUAACUCAGUUGGUAGAGUGCCAAACUUGUAAUUUGGAAGCCGUGGGUUCGAAUCCUGCCGGGGGCACCA